rnacentral:misc_RNA from 1 species
GAAAUGCGAUAAGUAAUGUGAAUUGCAGAAUUCAGUGAAUCAUCGAAUCUUUGAACGCACCUUGCGCUCCUUGGUAUUCCUUGGAGCAUGCCUGUUUGAGUAUCAUGAAAUCUUCAAAGUAAAUCUUUGGUUAACUCAAUUGGUUUCUACUUGGUAUUGGAGGUCUUUGCAGCUUCACACCUGCUCCUCUUUGUUCAUUAGCUGGAUCUCAGUGUUAUGCUUGGUUCCACUCGGCGUGAUAAGUUAUCUAUCGCUGAGGACACUGUAAAAGGUGGCCAAGGUAAAUGCAGAUGAACCGCUUCUAAUAGUCCAUUGACUUGGACAAUACUUUUAUGAUCUGAUCUCAAAUCAGGUAGGACUACCCGCUGAACUUAAGC